rnacentral:rRNA from 1 species
UACGUAGGGCGCAAGCGUUAUCCGGAAUUAUUGGGCGUAAAGAGCUCGUAGGCGGUUUGUCGCGUCUGCCGUGAAAGUCCGGGGCUCAACUCCGGAUCUGCGGUGGGUACGGGCAGACUAGAGUGAUGUAGGGGAGACUGGAAUUCCUGGUGUAGCGGUGAAAUGCGCAGAUACCAGGGGGAACACCGAUGGCGAAGGCAGGUCUCUGGGCAUUAACUGACGCUGAGGAGCGAAAGCAUGGGGAGCGAACAGG